UACGUAGGGGGCAAGCGUUGUCCGGAUUUACUGGGCGUAAAGAGCGUGUAGGCGGCCAAACAGGUCCGUUGUGAAAACUGGAGGCUCAACCUCCAGACGUCGACGGAAACCGUAUGGCUAGAGUCCGGAAGAGGAGAGUGGAAUUCCGUGGUGUAGCGGUGAAAUGCGCAGAUAUCAGGAGGAACACCAGUGGCGAAGGCAGGUCUCUCGGU
rnacentral:rRNA from 1 species